AAAUUGAAGAGUUUGAUCAUGGCUCAGAUUGAACGCUGGCGGCAGGCCUAACACAUGCAAGUCGAACGGUAACAGGAAGCAGCUUGCUGCUUUGCUGACGAGUGGCGGACGGGUGAGUAAUGUCUGGGAAACUGCCUGAUGGAGGGGGGUAACUACUGGAAACGGUGGCUAAUACCGCAUAACGUCGCAAGACCAAAGAGGGGGACCUUCGGGCCUCUUGCCAUCAGAUGUGCCCAGAUGGGAUUAGCUAGUUGGUGAGGUAACGGCUCACCAAGGCGACGAUCCCUAGCUGGUCUGAGAGGAUGACCAGCCACACUGGAACUGAGACACGGUCCAGACUCCUACGGGAGGCAGCAGUGGGGAAUAUUGCACAAUGGGCGCAAGCCUGAUGCAGCCAUGCCGCGUGUAUGAAGAAGGCCUUCGGGUUGUAAAGUACUUUCAGCGGGGAGGAAGGUGUUG
rnacentral:rRNA from 1 species